UACGUAGGGGCAAGCGUUGUCCGGAUUUAUUGGGCGUAAAGCGCACGUAGGCGGCCUGUUAAGUCGGGUGUGAAAGCCCUGGGCUCAACCCAGGAAGUGCACUCGAAACUGGCAGGCUUGAAUAUGGAAGAGGGUCGCGGAAUUCCCGGUGUAGAGGUGAAAUUCGUAGAUAUCGGGAGGAACACCAGUGGCGAAGGCGGCGACCUGGGCCAAUAUUGACGC
rnacentral:rRNA from 1 species